rnacentral:rRNA from 1 species
AGAGUUGAUUCUGGCUCAGGAUGAACGCUAGCGACAGGCUUAACACAUGCAAGUCGAGGGGCAGCACGGGAGUAGCAAUACAACUGGUGGCGACCGGCGCACGGGUGAGUAACGCGUAUGCAACCUACCUAUCAGAGGGGAAUAACCCGGCGAAAGUCGGACUAAUACCGCAUAAAACAGGGGCACCGCAUGGUGAUAUUUGUUAAAGAAAUUCGCUGAUAGAUGGGCAUGCGUUCCAUUAGGUAGUUGGUGAGGUAACGGCUCACCAAGCCGACGAUGGAUAGGGGAACUGAGAGGUUGGUCCCCCACACUGGUACUGAGACACGGACCAGACUCCUACGGGAGGCAGCAGUGAGGAAUAUUGGUCAAUGGGCGAGAGCCUGAACCAGCCAAGUCCGCGUGAAGGAAGAAGGAUCUAUGGUUCGUAAACUUCUUUUGCAGGGGAAUAAAGUGCGGGACGUGUCCUGUUUUGUAUGUACCCUGAGAAUAAGGAUCGGCUAACUCCGUGCCAGCCGCCGC